AAAGGGAUGCUUCUAGGGGUUUUCUUCAUUUCCAGCCCCCACUCUUUCUACCUCUUCUCUCUCAAGAACCAUUCACUAUUUAUUUAAUUUUUGUCCUAUUUAAUAAAUUUGUGCAUGAAUUGAAGGCAUUUCUACAUGUAUUGAAGGUCAAGCUUAUAUUGGUUUGCCGAUUUGAGGCAUUUGAAGGGAAAACAAAAGUGACGUGCUAGCUACUACACAGCAUGGGGGACACUUGGGACAUACUGAAGGGAUAAUGGCAAAAAGCCUCUGAUGGGUUAGGUCCGUUGAUGAAUACCUUUGUGCUUUGAACUCCAACUCAUUGAUCCGUAGAGAAAAGGUGUUUAUGGCACACUUGAGGAGCUACUUGAAGUAAUUACGUUGGCACAGCUUGACAUCCACGAUAAGACGGUAGGAUUGCUAAAUGUUAAUGGAUAUUACAAUUCAUUAUUAUCAUUUAUUGACAAAGAUGUGGAGGAAGGUUUCAUCAAUCUCAAUGGUCGCCAAGUCAUCGUAUCUGCGCCAACAACAACAGAGCUUGUCGAGAAACUGGAGGAAUAUGUUUCUUGCCAUGAUAGAGUUGCUUCAAAGUUGAACUGGGAGACGGAGUAGCAGCUUAGCUACCCUCAAGCACAUUCUUUCUCUCCUUCAGCUUACUUUGAAGCUAAAGAGUAGGUGUAUUAACGUCCAUUUGAAAAAGUGUUGUAACUUUUAUCUAAAUUUUGAUAUCUGCAUCACAACAAUGAAAGAAUUGUUGCCUUUUUUUGUACUAAAUUUGAAUUUGAAGAUUUCCAAGAAUUAAGUUUUUUGAGUGUCUGAUGAUUUGUAAAUAUAGUUAUUAGCGACAAUAAAUUAGUGACUAAAUUUAGUCAUAGCUACUGAAAAACUUUAGCGUUGAACAGAUUUGAUUGCUAAAUAUGGCUACUUGGUCGCUAAAUAUAGCUACUCAAGCGAUCAAAUUAUGUUGAAAUGGAUCAACGAUAAAAUAUUCUGUCGUAAA